AACGUCAUCCCCACCUUCCUCCGAGUUGACCCCGGCAGUCUCCUAUGAGUCCCCGCCAUAACGCGCUGGCAACAUAGAACGAGGGUUGCGCUCGUUGCGGGACUUAACCCAACAUCUCACGACACGAGCUGACGACAACCAUGCACCACCUGUACACCGACCACAAGGGGGCGACCAUCUCUGGCCGUUUCCGGUGUAUGUCAAGCCUUGGUAAGGUUCUUCGCGUUGCAUCGAAUUAAUCCGCAUGCUCCGCCGCUUGUGCGGGCCCCCGUCAAUUCCUUUGAGUUUUAGCCUUGCGGCCGUACUCCCCAGGCGGGGCGCUUAAUGCGUUAGCUACGACACAGAAACCGUGGAAAGGUCCCUACAUCUAGCGCCCAACGUUUACGGCGUGGACUACCAG
rnacentral:misc_RNA from 1 species